GCGCCCAUAGCUCAGGUGGUAGAGCAACUGACUUUUAAUCAGUGGGUCCCAGGUUCGAGUCCUGGUGGGCGCACCA
rnacentral:tRNA from 3 species